GGGGCAGCAUGGUCUAGCUGCUAAGACUGAUGGCGACCGGCGCACGGGUGAGUAACGCGUAUCCAACCUCCCCCACAGUAGCGGAUAGCCCGGCGAAAGUCGGAUUAAUACGCUAUGAGGUGCAGUAUUGGCAUCAUGGCCGCACGAAAGAUUUAUCGCUGUGGGAUGGGGAUGCGUCUGAUUAGCUUGUCGGCGGGGUAACGGCCCACCGAGGCGACGAUCAGUAGGGGUUCUGAGAGGAAGGUCCCCCCACAUUGGUACUGAGACACGGACCAAACUCCUACGGGAGGCAGCAGUGAGGAAUAUUGGUCAAUGGCCGGAAGGCUGAACCAGCCAAAAGUAGCGUGCAGGACGACGGCCCUACGGGUUGUAAACUGUCUUUUAGUAGGGAAUAAAGUGUGGUACGUGUACCGUUUGUAUGUACCCUAUGAAUAAGGACCGGCUAAUUCCGUGCCAGCAGCCGC
rnacentral:rRNA from 1 species